CGUACGACGAGUUUGAUCCUGGCUCAGAUUGAACGCUGGCGGCAUGCCUUACACAUGCAAGUCGAACGGUAGAGUAGCAAUACUUGAGAGUGGCGAACGGGUGAGUAAUAUAUCGGAACGUGCCCAGUCGUGGGGGAUAACGUAGAGAAAUUUACGCUAAUACCGCAUACGAUCUAAGGAUGAAAGCGGGGGACUCGCAAGGGCCUCGCGCGAUUGGAGCGGCUGAUAUCAGAUUAGGUUGUUGGUGAGGUAAAAGCUCACCAAGCCGACGAUCUGUAGCUGGUUUGAGAGAACGACCAGCCACACUGGGACUGAGACACGGCCCAGACUCCUACGGGAGGCAGCAGUGGGGAAUUUUGGACAAUGGGCGAAAGCCUGAUCCAGCAAUGCCGCGUGCAGGAAGAAGGCCUUCGGGUUGUAAACUGCUUUUGUACGGAACGAAAAGGUCUGCCCUAAUACGGCGGGCCCAUGACGGUACCGUAAGAAUAAGCACCGGCUAACUACGUG
rnacentral:rRNA from 1 species